GGAAGGGUGCCGGAGCGGUCGAACGGAGCGGUCUUGAAAACCGUCGCGGUGAAAGCCGCCGGGAGUUCAAAUCUCCCCCCUUCCGCCA
rnacentral:tRNA from 1 species